rnacentral:rRNA from 1 species
UACGAGGGGGGCGAGCGUUGUUCGGAAUUAUUGGGCGUAAAGGGCGCGUAGGCGGUGCGGUAAGUCUGCUGUGAAAGUUCAGGGCUCAACCCUGAAGUGCCGGUGGAAACUGUCGAGCUAGAGUACGGAAGAGGUGAGUGGAAUUCCUGGUGUAGCGGUGAAAUGCGCAGAUAUCAGGAGGAACACCAAUGGCGAAGGCAGCUCACUGGGACGUUACUGACGCUGAGACGCGAAAGCGUGGGGAGCAAACAGG